rnacentral:lncRNA from 1 species
GUGAAGUGUUCCCUCAGUUCACAUAGACCAGGCUUCCUCUUUAGAGGCAUAAGCUGUAAAACAGGAGAGUCUGUUUUAAGAGGAUCUGUUUGAAGUUUAAUGUAACUGAAGUCCAUGCACCUGAAGCCAUUAAUUGAUAUAAGUGAAGUAAGUCUUUGGGUUUCCGGUAGCUCUGACUCAGAUUCUGCUUGCCUCUUCUCCAUGAGAUUACCAAGGCAUCAGGGCAGAGACUCCCUGAGGAUGAGUGGAUCUGGUUCAGAACAUCUGUGAACACAGAGGGAGUGGAAACUUCACUUUCAACAUCAUCAGCCAACUUCCCUCCCAUUACAAUUCUAUCUCAAGAUCAAGGUCAUGCAACAAAACCAGCAGUGGCCACAUCCACUACUCCUACAGUUCCGUUUCAGAGGCCAUCGGAGCUCUACAUCUAUUAUUUACUACCGAUAUCCACAUCAAGCCUCCCUCCCUUGCUCUUCAUGAAAUGCAUCCACGAUGGGACAUUGAUCUCAUUAUUCUGUGAG